UGCAGUGACAGGCUCCCGAGGUAGGUGAACUGCGAGGUGUGUGAGACCACAUGCAGGUUCUGGCGCUGAGAUGCCCAACUGCAGAUGAGCGUAUCGACAGCACUGCCCGAUUCCCUGAGAACUCUGCGAGGUGCAGUGCAGGUGGAUGCUGUGUGGGUUUAGUGAAUGGUUUCCAAGUAGUGUAAGACUUCAAGAAAAAUCUUGUGAGGCUCCAAGAAGGUGAAAUGAUUUUUAUUGAACAUCCAGUUGGGCAGCUACCUCUUGGAAUGAACAGCAAGUGCCUUGAACAAAGAGGUGUCUACUCAAGGAAAUGCCCAGGGCAAAGGAUGUGAUGGAUGUAGGGACUGCUGCAAGACCAGACUGUGACCAUUACAGAGAGUGUGAACAGCUGCAAGGAGCCUGUGACCAGGCAAGGUGUGAUCACUGUGGAGCCACCCAGCCUGCGACCAGAGCAUGAUGGGACGACUGUGGAGCCAC